CCUGUAGCUCAGUUGGUAGAGCAUGGUGUUUGCAACGCCAGGGUUGGGGUUCGAUUCCCAUGGG
rnacentral:tRNA from 1 species